CGGGGCGUUUCCAACCGGCUGACGCGCACGCGCUGGGAGGCCCCGCCCCCCAUCCCGCCUCCCGCGAUAUCGUGUGGUCGGGCAUCAAGCUGUGGGGCGGUCGCCAGCUCGGUUCUUCGGGACCUUCGGGACAGGGCUGGGGAGCCCGCCCAAAAAGGUCGUUUCUCCUGCAGUUUCCAACAUGGCAGGCAAGUUUUAUAGACAUGGAUAAGAAGUCCAUACACAGAAGUCCUGAAGAUGCCGGGACCGGCAGAAAUGGAGGUAAACAUAGACCAAAGAAAAAAGAAGAGCGAAACCAAAAACACCACCAAUCCCGACAUAGAUCAUCAGCAUCUCAUUCUUCAGAUGACAAUGUGUUUCCUUCUUUUUCGUCAUCAUCUUCAGGAAGUCAGACCGAUUCAAGUAGUGAAGGUGCUCCCCAGGGAAAAAUUAAAAGAAAGAGAGAAGAGAAAAGGGGUAAAUGGAAAAAAAAGAAAGAGAGAUGGCCCUGGCAUGGCACUGUGGGACCUCCUCACCCCUAACCGGCACCUGCUACAGGUCCAUCUGGCCUGCCAAAGCUGCCUGGCCCGUGCAGUCUACACAAGGGAUGCUCCUACACAAGGCCACUCCUUCAAGACUUGGAGAGGACAAAAGAUGAAACAUCAAGAAAAAGAAAGAGAAGAAAAAAAGGAGGGAAUGGCCACAUGCUAUCACCUUUCCAAGAGGGGCUGAAACCAGGCUAAACUCGUUGAUUUCUGAAACUCAGUCCUUUGGUGUAAGGUGGCCAAACGAGAAUGCAGAGCCCAGCACGGUGAAAGCUACAGUGGAGGAGCUUGGGGACGGCACGUCUUUCACACCACGUCUAGACUCCUGACACCAAUCUUCACGUCCCCUGUAACCACACAAUAAAAAGUUGGGAAAUCACAUUGUGUUUAUGAAGAUCCACGUCCAACACCGGAGAGCCUGACGACAAGCCAGUUGUGGCCAUUUUAGGAUGCUUACCCUGUUUGCAAAUAUUCUGUAGGGAAGGAGGAGAUUGAGCCUACUUCUCUUAAAUGUAUGCCUAAUAAUUGCAACUAAAAUACUUACACCAAAGUCCUACACAAAGCAGAAGACUUACAGAUGGCAUGAAAAAGCUAAAGCCUUCCCAAGUUUCAUGUUUCUGUUUUUUACUAAUGUCCCCUUCUUUCAACAAGUGUUAUCAGUUUUCGUAAUCUCAGUGUUUGUUCUGGAGCCUGAUGUAAUGUUCUUUUACUCUUGUUACUCCAGGUACACUGAUGAUAAGUUUCCAACCAAAAGCUUUCAUCUCUAAAGAUGAUCACUUUGUUUAUAAAACAAGAAAGGAGAAAGCAGUUCCCCAGUCAGCCCUUGCUGUUGCCUCUAACGGUUUUACGCAUCGUUGGGCCUUUUGCUCGCUUGGGUUUGUGAGGGAAUGUGUGUCCAAUCUAACCAUGUCCUUGAUAGUUGCCUUUAAAAGAAGCUCCUGCUAGAAGUGAAUGAUGGCGACAGGGCUAGGUUUAUUGUUUUGAACUGGAAGUUGAGGUACUAUUAUUUUGUUAUUCAGGCAAAACUAAAAGAUUGAAAUUAAUCUUGAAUAGGGGCUGGCCCCACGCCCCGGUGGUUAAGUUUGGCGCUCUCUUCUUCUGUGGCCCAGAUUCAGCUCCUGGGUGCAGACCUACACCACUUGUCAGCAGCCGUGCUGUGGUGGUGACCCACGUACAAAAUAGAGGAAGAUCAGCACAGAUGUUAGCUCAGAGACAAUCUUCCUCACCAAAAAGUAAAUUAAAAUUAAAAAAUAAAUGAAUAAUCUUGAAUGCUGUUUUGUGCUGAAGUUAGAGUUUAAGAUGUUAUUCAUAUCACCGUAAUGUGGUGGUGUUACUGAAUGCCAUUCCUUGAAGGGUUUUUUCCCUUCAAAGUAAAAUUAUAAUAGGAUUGUAGUUAAAUUAAAUUAAGCAUCUUUAUCUUUGAUUAUAAAGAGAUUUAGCACAACUGUACAUUAUUUUUCCUCCUAUAUUGUGUUGGACUCCUAGUAUUUGUGUAUCAAGAAAGCAUUUCCUUAUAUUUGAAUGAUAACAUUUUAAAAACAUACCAGCAGAGGACAUAGGUUUUUUGCUUUUUGGUAUUUUUUUUUUUCAUUUUUGAUUUACUGAAGAAAUAAAGGCAUUUUAGUUUGCAAAUGGACUGUUUUCUUUUUUCCAGGAAAACUAAAAUUCACAAUUAUGGGAUAACCAUGGUCUCUUCAAGAGGACAAAAUAAAA
rnacentral:lncRNA from 1 species